AGAACAUCAAAGCAGUCAUAGCACACUGUAUCUUGAAGACUCACCAAGUGAAAGAGAGACACACCUAUUGGAAAAGAUUCCUAGUUCUUAAAGCUGGACCUAUUAGACACUCUUGCUAUGCAUAUUCCAAAUCUGAAAAAUACCAACCUGCUGAAGAGCUGUUACUCCAAUUUUCCAUCCCAGAAAUGUAUACAGAAGCUUACUACAGGAAGAAAAACAGUUCAAAGCUUUUAUUUUUUAGGGAAACAAAAUCAACUAUAUAUUAA